UCUGAGUUGUAAUUUGCAGAGGGCGCUUUGGCAUUGGCAGCGGUCCAAGUUCCUUGGAACAGGUCGUCACAGAGGGUGAGAAUCCCGUACGUGGUCGCUAGCCUUUACCGUGUAAAGCCCCUUCGACGAGUCGAGUUGUUUGGGAAUGCAGCUCUAAAUGGGAGGUAAAUUUCUUCUAAAGCUAAAUACUGGCCAGAGACCGAUAGCGCACAAGUAGAGUGAUCGAAAGAUGAAAAGCACUUUGGAAAGAGAGUUAAAAAGCACGUGAAAUUGUUGAAAGGGAAGCGCUUGCAGCCAGACUUGCCUGUAGUUGCUCAUCCGGGUUUCUACCCGGUGCACUCUUCUAUAGGCAGGCCAGCAUCAGUUUGGGCGGUUGGAUAAAGGUCUCUGUCAUGUACCUCCUUUCGGGGAGAACUUAUAGGGGAGACGACAUGCAACCAGCCUGGACUGAGGUCCGCGCAUCUGCUAGGAUGCUGGUGUAAUGGCUGUAAGCGGCCCGUCUUGAAACACGGACCAAGGAGUCUAACAUCUAUGCGAGUGUUUGGGUGUCAAGCCCGAACGCGUAAUGAAAGUGAACGGAGGUGGGAACCUUUCGGGGUGCACCAUCGACCGAUCCUGAUGUCUUCGGAUGGAUUUGAGUAAGAGCA
rnacentral:rRNA from 1 species